AACUCGUAAUGUACAGUUGUAAGUAGGCAAAUGCUAUAUUAAUGAACCAUCGUUCACAAAAUAUUAAUACAUAUGGGCCGUCAAGGCCUCUGACAUACUGUACAACAUGAACCUUUGUCUACAAAGCCUCUAAGAUUAUUUGACAUCAAAUGUGAUAGGGUACCGCUGACACAUAAGUAUGUAGUAAAACUCUGACACGAUGACUCAUAAACUCGGCUGCACUCCGAAUGAGCUGGAGUCUUACCGAUCCUUCACUGAAUGUCAAUCUCGUCUACAAUGAGUGAUCGUCAAACUGAUUAUCUAUACCUGCAGGCAUGAAUGCAGCAUCCGCAACAAAAGGACGUUAGUACAAAUAAUGUACUGAGUAUGUAAGGCAGAACUAAAAUAUAACAAAAAGUCAAUAUUAAUUAAUGACAUAUAAGAAUCAACCUGCAUCUGUGAAGCGCCACUGUAUAUUUAUACUUGCAUAUAUAAUGCUUCGCUUUGAGACUAUUAUUCAUAUUCUAUGAUGCAUCACUACCCAACUGAUCAGUGGUAACUGCCCCACCGGCCGUAGCGCGGUGGUAAAUGCAUGACUGCCCGACCGACCGUAGCUCGAUAGUGAAUAUGUAACUGCCCAACCGGCCGUAGCUCGGUGGUAAAUGUGUAACUACCCAACCAGCCGUAGCUCAGUGGGAAAUAAAUGACUGCCUGACCGGUGGUAAAUAAUAAUACAUAACUGCCCAACCGGUGGUAACUGCCCGACCGACCGUAGCGCGAUGGUAAAUGAAUGAACUUGCAUGUACAUCUAUCUCUAUAUUAUAAACAUUAAUAUUUCUAUCAUAUAGCUCAAUAGGAAAUUAGAUACCUACUUAGACAUGCUUGAAUAUCACUUUACGAGAAUAAGUAACACAGACAUUCUUAACUGCUAAGAGUAGAACCACUUAUGAAAUAGCAUUACGUUUACGUUUCGUUACUUGGAUCAUACCAAAAGAAAGAAGGGAUAGCCUUAACAUACCUGAGAUAACUCUCUUGACAAUCCCUCUAAUUCAUAUUAAUUGCGACAAUAAGCAUCCAUUAAUGUGUUGAAGGUGACUAUAGCUGGCUGACAACCUUCCAUACUCGCAAGCCCAAACAUUCCCAUGAAUCAAAAUCCCAAGUUUUUCAUACCCAUUUGACAUAAGAGGAACACUAAUUAAUGAUCACACAAGAGAAGGAAGGAGAGUCACUGUUUCAGAUUAUAUAUGCCAGGCUUAUAGUAUUUUUUAUAGACUUCAAAUUCGGAUUUACCAAACUGUUAGUACAUAUUCAAUAUUUUUCUUUACAUUGAAUUGAUGACUAUGAUAUGUACAAAUUAUUGAGCUCACAAGUAGGAUUCACAAGUUUUAACAUAUGAGCAUCAGUCAUUGAAAAAGAUAGUUGAAGUAUUACUUAGAUUCUUCAACUCACUGCUCACCAAUAUUAUUUACUGAGAAUACAAACACAAUUCAAGUAGCCUAGAUACCUUAAACUUUCAGUGACUAUAAAAUAUUGAUCGUCAACAUGAAUACAGAAAAGGUUCAAUAGUAGAUACUAUUAAUUUAGGAUUCAAACUUUUAUUUGACAUCCUACUAGCCAUUUCACCUUAUCACAUUUUAAAGCACUAUUGUAAACACUUCCGUCAACCUCUAAAAAUUAUUCUGUCUAAAAUAAGCUUGAUAUAAUAAUCUAUAUAUACUCCUCUUAAUUGGAAUUGAGGUAGCAAUUUCUAAAAGCAGACGACAAAAAAUAUAGAUGUGACAACUUUAUUUUACAAGUGAACUAAACAAGACAAAUGAUCCUUACCCCUCUUCGUGUACUUCCCUUGUCACUCCAAAAAUUCAAAUAAGCAUAAUCUUAAAGUAGAUAUGGAAGAAUAUAUAGAAGAACAUGGGAACCUUUGUCAAACCUUGUCAAGGAAUUGUAAAUGAUAUGUACUGACGUUUGCUCAACAUCAACCCCCCUA
rnacentral:lncRNA from 1 species